rnacentral:lncRNA from 1 species
CAUCCCCCCACCCGUGUGUGGCCUGUCAUUGUCCCACCCCGGGGGACACGGGGGGAGGGGGAGGUCACAGCCACCUCCCACCCCGGGGGACACGGGGGGAGGGGGGGGUCACAGCCACCCUGUGGGGACAAUCCCGCUGUCCCCAAGGGGGGUGGGGACAAUCCCGCUGUCCCCAGCUGGGGGUGGCUGUGUGCUGUCCCCACAGGCAGUGGCACCGAGCCAGCGCGGUGUCACUCAGCAGGUUUAUUGUGCAGGGGUGGCCCCGUGUCACCGUCACUGUGGUGUCCCAGGUGUCCCCGUCGGGUCGGCGCGGUGUCCCCGGUGUCACUCGCCGUCCCCGGUGUCACUCGCUGUCCCCCUGGCUCUCACUGUCCCCCUGGCUCUGCCGGAGCCGCUUCUGCCGCUGCAGGAGGCGCCGCUCGCGCUCGAACUCCUUCAUGCGCAUCACGUAGCUGGGGACGGGUGGCACUGUCACCCCCGUGUCACCCCUCAGUAGGGACAGGGGCAGGGACACCUCAGCGGGGAUGGGGACAGGGACACCUCAGUAGGGACAGGGACAGGGACAGGGACACCUCAGUAGGGACAGGGGCAGGGACACCUCAGCGGGGAUGGGGACAGGGACACCUCAGUAGGGACAGGGACAGGGACAGGGACACCUCAGUAGGGACAGGGGCAGGGACACCUCAGCGGGGAUGGGGACAGGGACACCUCAGUAGGGACAGGGACAGGGACAGGGACACCUCAGUAGGGACAGGGGCAGGGACACCUCAGCGGGGAUGGGGACAGGGACACCUCAGUAGGGACAGGGACAGGGACAGGGACACCUCAGUAGGGACAGGGGCAGGGACACCUCAGCGGGGAUGGGGACAGGGACACCUCAGUAGGGACAGGGACAGGGACAGGGACACCUCAGUAGGGACAGGGGCAGGGACACCUCAGCGGGGAUGGGGACAGGGACACCUCAGUAGGGACAGGGACAGGGACAGGGACACCUCAGUAGGGACAGGGGCAGGGACACCUCAGCGGGGAUGGGGACAGGGACACCUCAGUAGGGACAGGGACAGGGACAGGGACACCUCAGUAGGGACAGGGGCAGGGACACCUCAGCGGGGAUGGGGACAGGGACACCUCAGUAGGGACAGGGACAGGGACAGGGACACCUCAGUAGGGACAGGGGCAGGGACACCUCAGCGGGGAUGGGGACAGGGACACCUCAGUAGGGACAGGGACAGGGACAGGGACACCUCAGUAGGGACAGGGGCAGGGACACCUCAGCGGGGAUGGGGACAGGGACACCUCAGUAGGGACAGGGACAGGGACAGGGACACCUCAGUAGGGACAGGGGCAGGGACACCUCAGCGGGGAUGGGGACAGGGACACCUCAGUAGGGACAGGGACAGGGACAGGGACACCUCAGUAGGGACAGGGGCAGGGACACCUCAGCGGGGAUGGGGACAGGGACACCUCAGUAGGGACAGGGACAGGGACAGGGACACCUCAGUAGGGACAGGGGCAGGGACACCUCAGCGGGGAUGGGGACAGGGACACCUCAGUAGGGACAGGGACAGGGACAGGGACACCUCAGUAGGGACAGGGGCAGGGACACCUCAGCGGGGAUGGGGACAGGGACACCUCAGUAGGGACAGGGACAGGGACAGGGACACCUCAGUAGGGACAGGGGCAGGGACACCUCAGCGGGGAUGGGGACAGGGACACCUCAGUAGGGACAGGGACAGGGACAGGGACACCUCAGUAGGGACAGGGGCAGGGACACCUCAGCGGGGACGGGGACAGGGACAGGGGCAGGGACACCUCAGCAGGGACAGGGACAGGGACAGGGGCAGGGACACCUCAGCGGGGACGGGGACAGGGACACCUCAGCGGGGAUCCCCCCCCCCCCCCCCCCCCCCCCCCCCCCCCCCCCCCCCCCCCCCCCCCCCCCCCCCCCCCCCCCCCCCCCCC